rnacentral:rRNA from 1 species
UCCGGUUGAUCCUGCCGGAGGCCACUGCUAUGGGGGUCCGACUAAGCCAUGCGAGUCAUGGGGCGCCUUGCGCGCACCGGCGGACGGCUCAGUAACACGUCGGUAACCUACCCUCGGGAGGGGGAUAACCCCGGGAAACUGGGGCUAAUCCCCCGUAGGCCUGAGGUACUGGAAGGUCCUCAGGCCGAAAGGGUCUUUGACCGCCCGAGGAUGGGCCGGCGGCCGAUUAGGUAGUUGGUGGGGUAACGGCCCACCAAGCCGAAGAUCGGUACGGGCCAUGAGAGUGGGAGCCCGGAGAUGGACACUGAGACACGGGUCCAGGCCCUACGGGGCGCAGCAGGCGCGAAACCUCCGCAAUGCUCGAAAGAGCGACGGGGGGACCCCCAGUGCCGUGGCAUCGCCACGGCUUUUCCGGAGUGUAAAGAGCUCCGGGAAUAACGGCUGGGCAAGGCCGGUGGCAGCCGCCGCGGUAAUACCGGCGGCCCGAGUGGUGGC